rnacentral:lncRNA from 10 species
CUGGCACACACAUGAACCUCAGCUCCUUUCCUGGGUUGUCACACACACACCCAUACAUAAAACACAACGUCACAAAGCCUGUCUUUGUGUGGCAGACAAAAAACUUUGUCUCUCUUUCAGCUAAGAGUAGCCAAGGAAUAUGAGCAGACCUCAUGUGAGCAACUUACUAGUCAUGGAGUACGUCCUCCACCUUCUUUUUACCUCCUUCCUAUUGGAUGAAAUGUGGACAUGAUGGUGAAGGCUGGAGCAGCCAUCUUGGACCAUAAAUGAAUGGCUGGAGCAAUCCCAGAGAAGGCUCACAUCUCAGCUGCUGCCACCAUCGCCUCAUAUCCUAAUGUCUCCAAUUUUCAUAGCCUCCUCCGGGACGAGGACUGGACUUAGGCAUGGAGAUGCAGCAGGUCCUGUGUGCAGGUUCAACCUGACUAAACCCUAGGGAGUUUCUGGUUUUCCCAGCUCACAAUUGCCCAGAGGGACUGGCAAAUGAGGGAGACUCAAUGGCCUGAAGAGCUGAUUUUCACCAAUGAGGCAGAAGAUGAAAACAAACUUGCAAAUAAAUUUCUUGCCCUUAUUCUUCUUCCACAGCAUAUUGUUCUGAGAAUCAGUGACUCCAUGUGACCACUCUGGAGAAGUCCCACAUUAGUCAGUGAUGUUUUCCUGAGAAGCCGUGCCUAAACUUGGCAGCAUACCAGCUUGUAUUGCUUUCCCUCCUUAUCUGCCGUUUUCCCUCUCCUUUGUCUUCUGUAGGAUUGUAUCCCUCUCUUCAACAAGCCAUAGCACGUACAUUUUGUUUCAUAUUCUCCUUCUAGGGACUCCAGACUAACAGAAUUGGCUUAAAUUUUUUUAAAAAAUGUUAUUUAUCAGUAACCAAAAUUCAAAUGUUUAUUAAAGCUGUAAAAAGUUCUAUUAAAGAUGUUAAAACUACGAUCAAUACAUUUUGUAAAUACUGUAUAAAUGAGUCAGUUCAUUGGCAAGUCAAUCAUGUGGAGAAUUGACUUGCUUCUGUAGAAGGGAAGACAAAGAGAAGUCCAGCAAUCUGAGUACUAUUUAGAAGAUACAUCCGAUAGGAAUUUGUUAUGAACUGAAUGUGAAGGUUAAGGGAUGGAUGAUAUUAAGGAUUACCCCUAGGUUUCUGUUUGGGGCACCUGAAUGAAUGGCAAGCCCAUUCGCUUCAUUAAAGCAGAGGGAGGAGGUUUGUGUGUGUGUUAGGGCUGAAGACUGUCAGGGAAGGCCGAAGACUGGAUUUGGGCUACAGACUGUCAGGGAAGAUGAUGAGUUCAUGGAAUCUGAAGGAUCUGAGAUAUUUUGUAGGCAUUUGCAUAAAUGAGUCUAAACUUCAUGUAGAUCUGAGUUGGAGUCAUUGAUUUUUGAGUGCUAUGAUGAACACUGCUAAUUGACUAACAACCUCUUCUCUCAUCUUCCUUGCUAACAGAACCCCACUUUUAUUCAGGCAGUGAUGUACUCAGUUUAUGAAUUAAAAUUGAUUAAGCCAAUCAUGGUAACCCCAUUUCUCUUUGUCAUUGAUUGGUUGAGGGUGUACGUAUAAUCCAUUUCUAAGACAAGGGAAAUCUAUUGGGGAACUUCUAAGAAAGAUUUUCCUCCCUGAUAAAACAG